UACGUAGGGGGCUAGCGUUGUCCGGAAUCAUUGGGCGUAAAGAGCGUGUAGGCGGUCCGGUAAGUCCGCUGUGAAAGUCGGGGGCUCAACCCUCGAAUGCCGGUGGAUACUGUCGGGCUAGAGUGCGGAAGAGGCGAGUGGAAUUCCUGGUGUAGCGGUGAAAUGCGUAGAUAUCAGGAGGAACACCGAUUGCGAAGGCAGCUCGCUGGGACGUUACUGACGCUGAGGCGCGAAAGCGUGGGGAGCGAACAGG
rnacentral:rRNA from 1 species